rnacentral:rRNA from 1 species
GAUGAACGCUAGCGAUAGGCCUAACACAUGCAAGUCGAGGGGCAUCACAUGAAGUAGCAAUACGGAUGGUGGCGAUCGGCGCACGGGUGAGUAACACGUAUGCAACCUGCCUUCAACAAGAGGAUAACCCGUUGAAAGACGGACUAAUACCCUAUAACACAGGGGUCCCGCAUGGGAAUAUUUGUUAAAGGACAACCGGUUGAAGAUGGGCAUGCGUUCCAUUAGCUAGUUGGCGGGGUAACGGCCCACCAAGGCAACGAUGGAUAGGGGAACUGAGAGGUUUAUCCCCCACACUGGUACUGAGACACGGACCAGACUCCUACGGGAGGCAGCAGUGAGGAAUAUUGGUCAAUGGACGCAAGUCUGAAACCAGCCACGUCGCGUGAAGGAAGACGGCCCUACGGGUUGUAAACUUCUUUUAUACGGGGAAUAAAGUGCCCCACGCGUGGGGUUUUGCAUGUACCGUAUGAAUAAGGAUCGGCUAACUCCGUGCCAGCAGCCGCGGU